UAUACAUGCAGUCGAGCGGAGUCAAUGAGAAGCUUGCUUCUUUGAGACUUACGGCGGACGGGUGAGUAACACGUAGGCAACCUGCCCAUAAGACUGGGAUAACUACCGGAAACGGUAGCUAAUACCGGAUAGGUUCUUUUCUCGCAUGAGAGAAGAAAGAAAGACGGAGCAAUCUGUCACUUAUGGAUGGGCCUGCGGCGCAUUAGCUAGUUGGUGGGGUAAAGGCCUACCAAGGCGACGAUGCGUAGCCGACCUGAGAGGGUGAUCGGCCACACUGGGACUGAAACACGGCCCAGACUCCUACGGGAGGCAGCAGUAGGGAAUCUUCCGCAAUGGACGAAAGUCUGACGGAACAACGCCGCGUGAGUGAUGAAGGUUUUCGGAUCGUAAAGCUCUGUUGCCAGGGAAGAACGUCCUUGAGAGUAACUGCUCAAGGAGUGACGGUACCUGAGAAGAAAGCCCCGGCUAACUACGUGCCAGCAGCCGCGGUAAUACGUAGGGGGCAAGCGUUGUCCGGAAUUAUUGGGCGUAAAGCGCGCGCAGGCGGUUAUUUAAGUUGGGUGUUUAAUCCCGGGGCUCAACCUCGGGUCGCACCCAAAACUGGGUAACUUGAGUACAGAAGAAGAAAGUGGAAUUCCACGUGUAGCGGUGAAAUGCGUAGAGAUGUGGAGGAACAC
rnacentral:rRNA from 2 species